AUGAUGGUGAUGGACAACCAGCAUCAGGACCAGGGCGGCUCCAUGCCUCACGAGGACAACCUUGUGUCCUGCCUCUCCAUCCUCAACCUUACAUCUUCCUGCUCUUCACACAUGUGCAGACACAGAGACAGUUUUCAGAGGGAGCGCUGAUGACACUAGCAACUUUGGAUCUGAACCUGAUCAACCCAGCACCAACCACUGUGCCUCUCCUCCUCAGCCAACUGCACCACAUGACUCCACCAUAUCCAAAAGGUGCAGACACCACUCCACUUCCUGCGAAGGAUGAGAAGAGCAGACCUCUCCACAUCUGCACUCACCACUUUCUACAGGGGUGCCUUUGCGAGCAUCCUGAGAGCAGCUUCUCUGUCUGGCAUGGCAGCCGUCUAGCUGAAGACUACAAGGCGCUACAUAGGGUAGUGACUAGUGAGGACGGCAGAUCACCCCUACCAGCCAUUCAGGUACACUUCACACUGUUCCAAGAGGGCAGUCAACAUCAUCACAGAAACACCUCACCCACCACACAGACUGUUCCCCCUUCUACCAUCAGGGAAGCGCUACCACAGCAUGCGGUGCCGCACGAGCACACUGGGAAACAGCUUCUUUCCACAAGCCAUCAGACUUUUCAACACACUGAAGAAAACCACAUGAAUAUUUCAAGGACGCUAUCCCAACUCUUCUUUCACCAUGCCACUUAGAUUUUAGUCAUUGCACCUUGUAUACAGCAUCUGCUCUACUUCAAAUCACCUGCAUGACCACUGACUGUACUCCUGCUGCCGUGUUUGUGUGCAAGCGCGCAUGUGUGCAUUUGUGUAAUUAUUGUCAAUUGGUAUGUAAAUCUUCUUAUUGCACACUGUGUGUGUGUGUGUGUGUGUGUGUGUGUGUGUGUGUGUGUGUGUGUGUGUGUGUGUGUGUGUGUGUGUGUGUGUGUGUGUGUGUGUGUGUCAGUGGGUCUAUUUAUUGUAUGACUCAGUCUGUAUUUUUCACUGCUUGCGUGAGUGAAUGUGGCAAAGAAAGAGUUAGUUUACUCCAUGUUGUGUGUGUGUGAGAGAGAUUAUUGUCAGUGUCUUAUUUUUAUGUUUAGUUUAACUGCACAUUGGAGACUGGUCAAACAAUUUCAAACUUUUGUGCUAACCCUGUUCCAUAUGUUUUUGAACAAGUGCACUUGACUAUUUUUUAUCCUUUUAGUGUCUGUAUGCCUUCAGCUGUAGGCAAUACGGAUAUGUUCCAUGUAUAUUAUGUAUUCCAUCUGCCUGUGUACAUUUGUGGGUGUGCAUUUGAUAGUGUGCAAUGCAUUGCAAUAUCUGUUAUGUUGUAGACUGGUAGAAACUUUAAUUCCACAGCUAUCAACACAUCAGACAAAUGAGUGCUGCUCUAAGUGUGGUAGUUGAGUGCUGUUCUACUGCUAUUCCACUAUGAAUAUGAGAGGGUGAGGUGACUGUUUAGAAUAUAAGCUUGAAAAUAAAUUGUUACAUUUCA